GAUCCCGGAGGUUAGCACCCGACAGCGCGAUGCGCCCUCGGGUGGUUUUUGG
rnacentral:sRNA from 1 species